AUUUAGGGAUUACCAAAAAAUGCCUACGAGAUAUGUAUUUCACUUGGACACAACAAAGAAUCUGAGAGGAUCUGGCUCUACUGCUUAUGUGCCACUGGACACGAAGCAAGUCUCUGAUGUCUGAGUCUCUGAUGUCUGGGUGGGCCUCCCCAUAUGACAGUAAGAUGGGAACAGUAAUGCCUACUUCACAAAACAAAUCAGAUAUUAAAUGUUCUGUACUCCAUGACAAGCUUCAAACACACCAAUGGCCUAUGCACAAUAACCCCAGAUCAUCGAUAAAGAGGAAUUUUGUCUGAAGGGGGAGAAAGGAGGUAAUAGGUAAUGUUAACCUAGAUACACUCAGGAAGGUGGAAAAUAUAGUUUACCUGAGCCAUGGGCUUGGUAUAGUUUUUCCCCUUUUUAUCUCACAAGGUCUCUGCUCCCAAGAUCCAGGACUAAAGCUCUGGCUAUUAAUACCAUGUUCUAGUUACAUGUGGGAUAAAUAAGAACUGUGGGCUGGUAUAGAAACCCUGUGCCCACAUAAACUAUUGUUUCUAUAGUAAAAUGUUUCAUAUUUUAAAAACUGACUAAAUAACCUGUAAUACCUGAUAUUCACAGCUGGAAAAGUCAUGAAAAAUCAAUAAAUAUUUAAAGCUAUGGGUCUGACCCAGAACAUCAGUGAGUUCCAUAGAACUAUUUCCAUUAUUUCUUCAUAAUUUCGACUUUGACAAUCAUGGGACAGCCUUAUAGAGGUAGGGCAAUAAUCCAGAGAUAUUAGGUGUUCAAUACUGGCAUACACACUACUACAUUUUGAUGAGUUAUAAUAACACUAAAUAUCGUGAACUUUAACAAUGGCUUAAAAUCUGAUAAACGUUGCAAUUGAUCAAAAUGAUCAAUUUUGGUAUGUUGUCGAUGCAAUUAAAGGGAUACUGAAAGUGGCUCAAAUCACGAACUCUUCACGUUGUCAUGUUUCUUUGGCUGUGAUAAGUUAAGCAACUGGUCCAGGACUGCAUUUUCAAGAGAAACCCCAGAACUGACCACUACAGUUCCUUCUCCAGUGUCAGAGAGAUCUCCAGAUAAAGAUGCACAGAAGAGUGCCACCUUGAAGGUGUCUGAUUUUUUGAUAGGACUACCUGAAGCAGACGAUGGCACAGUGUGCUAUAGACUGAGAAGGUGGUGUGAAGAUGUGCAAAGAAGAGGUGAAGAGGAGGAGGGGAUGUUAUUCAGUGUUAUUUCGGUUACCACUCCUCCCCAUUUAAAGGACUGUAACCAUGGCAACUGGGCCCAACUAAAGAGAAGGCAAUGAUGGCUAGUUUUCUCCCUGCAAUAAACUACAGUUAUCCUUUUUUACAAGACGAGGAAAAAAAUCUUUCAUCUUAUGCCAAGAACAGCCAAGCUUAGGUCAUGAUCUCAUGGUUCGUGGGAUUGAGCCUCAUAUGCUGGGCUCAUGCUGUCAGUACGGAGCCUGCUUGGGAUUCUCUACCCCGCCCACCCCUCCGUCCUCCUGCCCCACCAUUCCCCAGCUUGCUCUCUCGCUCUCUCUCUAAAUAAAUAAAUUAAUU